rnacentral:rRNA from 1 species
CAGGGGGGGGGGGUGCCUAAUACAUGCAGUCGAGCGGACAGAAGGGAGCUUGCUCCCGGAUGUUAGCGGCGGACGGGUGAGUAACACGUGGGUAACCUGCCUGUAAGACUGGGAUAACUCCGGGAAACCGGAGCUAAUACCGGAUAGUUCCUUGAACCGCAUGGUUCAAGGAUGAAAGACGGUUUCGGCUGUCACUUACAGAUGGACCCGCGGCGCAUUAGCUAGUUGGUGGGGUAAUGGCUCACCAAGGCGACGAUGCGUAGCCGACCUGAGAGGGUGAUCGGCCACACUGGGACUGAGACACGGCCCAGACUCCUACGGGAGGCAGCAGUAGGGAAUCUUCCGCAAUGGACGAAAGUCUGACGGAGCAACGCCGCGUGAGUGAUGAAGGUUUUCGGAUCGUAAAGCUCUGUUGUUAGGGAAGAACAAGUGCGAGAGUAACUGCUCGCACCUUGACGGUACCUAACCAGAAAGCCACGGCUAACUACGUGCCAGCAGCCGCGGUAAUACGUAGGUGGCAAGCGUUGUCCGGAAUUAUUGGGCGUAAAGGGCUCGCAGGCGGUUUCUUAAGUCUGAUGUGAAAGCCCCCGGCUCAACCGGGGAGGGUCAUUGGAAACUGGGAAACUUGAGUGCAGAAGAGGAGAGUGGAAUUCCACGUGUAGCGGUGAAAUGCGUAGAGAUGUGGAGGAACACCAGUGGCGAAGGCGACUCUCUGGUCUGUAACUGACGCUGAGGAGCGAAAGCGUGGGGAGCGAACAGGAUUAGAUACCCUGGUAGUCCACGCCGUAAACGAUGAGUGCUAAGUGUUAGGGGUUUCCGCCCCUUAGUGCUGCAGCUAACGCAUUAAGCACUCCGCCUGGGGAGUACGGUCGCAAGACUGAAACUCAAAGGAAUUGACGGGGGCCCGCACAAGCGGUGGAGCAUGUGGUUUAAUUCGAAGCAACGCGGAGAACCUUACCAGGUCGUGGACAUCCUCUGACAACCCUAGAGAUAGGGCUUUCCCUUCGGGGACAGAGUGACAGGUGGGUGCAUGGCUGUCGUUCAGCUCGUGUCGUGGAGAUGUUGGGUUUAGGUCCCGGCAACCGA